GACGUAGGGCGCGAGCGUUGUCCGGAUUUAUUGGGCGUAAAGAGCUCGUAGGCGGCUUGUUGCGUCUGCUGUGAAAACUCGGGGCUUAACUCCGGGCCUGCAGUGGGUACGGGCAGACUAGAGUGCGGUAGGGGAGACUGGAAUUCCUGGUGUAGCGGUGAAAUGCGCAGAUAUCAGGAGGAACACCGGUGGCGAAGGCGGGUCUCUGGGCCGUAACUGACGCUGAGGAGCGAAAGCGUGGGGAGCGAACAGG
rnacentral:rRNA from 1 species